UGAGGAAUAUUGGACAAUGGGCGGAAGCCUGAUCCAGCCAUGCCGCGUGCAGGAAGACUGCCCUAUGGGUUGUAAACUGCUUUUAUACAGGAAGAAACCCCGGUACGUGUACUGGGCUGACGGUACUGUAAGAAUAAGCAUCGGCUAACUCCGUGCCAGCAGCCGCGGUAAUACGGAGGAUGCAAGCGUUAUCCGGAAUCAUUGGGUUUAAAGGGUCCGUAGGUGGAUAAUUAAGUCAGAGGUGAAAUCCUGCAGCUUAACUGUAGCAUUGCCUUUGAUACUGGUUAUCUUGAAUUAUUGUGAAGUAGUUAGAAUAUGUAGUGUAGCGGUGAAAUGCAUAGAUAUUACAUAGAAUACCGAUUGCGAAGGCAGAUUACUAACAAUAUAUUGACACUGAUGGACGAAAGCGUGGGGAGCGAACA
rnacentral:rRNA from 1 species